rnacentral:misc_RNA from 1 species
UCCGGCUUAUCACCGGCAGUCCCACUAGAGUGCCCAACUGAAUGAUGGCAACUAAUGGCGAGGGUUGCGCUCGUUGCGGGACUUAACCCAACAUCUCACGACACGAGCUGACGACAGCCAUGCAGCACCUGUGUCCCGACCUAUUGCUAGGAGGAAUCCGUUUCUGGAAACCGUCCGGGCAUGUCAAGGGCUGGUAAGGUUCUUCGCGUUGCAUCGAAUUAAGCCACAUACUCCACCGCUUGUGCAGGCCCCCGUCAAUUUCUUUGAGUUUUAAUCUUGCGACCGUACUCCCCAGGCGGCCAACUUCACGCGUUAGCUACGGUACUAAGGAAGUCUCCUUCCCCAACACCUAGUUGGCAUCGUUUAGGGCGUGGACUAC